rnacentral:lncRNA from 12 species
CACUAGCUUGCCCAGAGUUACUCAGCUAAUAAGCAGCUGAGCUGGGACUCCCACUCAGCAAUGCAGCUCCAGGCCUGGCUGCUAACCCCUUCUUCCUUCUUGGCAGCUGCCUUCACAGAGGAAUUCAAGAGCCAAAAGAAGUCCAACAAUGCCAGCAAAACCAGUAACACCAAGUCUUGGAAAAAAUCCGGGAGGUGCAUUUUGGAGAUAUUCAUAGCUGAAACCCCCACUGAACCAAGCUCUGCAUCUUGGGCUUUGUUUGUGAGUACAUUUCCUAACAACUUGUAUAUGACUCGCAAUAAUGUCGGAGAUGUGAAAUGCUUUCUUCAAGCUGGGUCCUUGGCUCCUCCACAUAUUUAGAUUGACCCUCAGGAACCGAGUAGAGUGAAAGCUCAUUAACCUUCACAGAAGUUUUCUGAGGUGAGUCCCUUUUAGGUGACACAUAGACUUUAAAGGUGAGCAGACUCAGGCUGGCCGGCCCCACAGACCUCCGAAUUACCUUGAACAUGUUGCUGGCAGAGGUGACUCCGGCAGGGUCCGUGAUUGUUUUUUAAAGGACAUUUUCAUAGAUGGAGGCCAGGCUAUUUCAUGUGGCACCGUAUCCUUGGGCCCAUUAGACUGGUACUCAGUGAACAGCAGUUCGGGUGGUGAGGGUGAAGUCACAGGAUUUCAGGAGUGUGUCUGCUGAAUGUGAGGCCUUGUGCCAUGUGCCCCAUCAUCUAGAAUCCUUGAGAAGGGAGUAGAUCCAAAAGGAGAGGAGAGGAGAGAAUAGGACAGAAGAGGAAGAGUAGGGAAUAGAGAGAGCUAUAACACUGCGGUUUCUUUUAGGCAAGACAAAAACCAUGUGAUGUAGAUUUAGGCA